rnacentral:lncRNA from 1 species
CGCACACAGAGGCAGUGGAGUGCGUGGCCAGGAGCUGCUAAGGAGCUCUGGGGCAUGUUAGUCACCUGUGAAUUGUAUGGCGGCAAAUCGAUUACAAAAUGCUCUCGGCUGGUGAGAGUUGGAGUUCAGAAAAGUCAAAAGCUGAUUCCUAUGUGCCUGCUGUGUGGUUCUAGGUUAUUGAUCCUGAAGACUGAACCUGUGGAGUAAAAGAGGAGUGAGGGGACCAGGUUUAUGGAGAACAGACAGGGGCAGGCCAAGGAGGAGAUGGCCAGGGUCUCUGAAGACAGACUGUGUCAUAGUUACCCUUCUGUUGCUGUGAAGAGACAUGUGACCGAUGGAGCACGUACCGAGACUCUCAGCAUCGGAUGGGGUGAAGAAACAAAAGAAAUCCAAAGACAGAAACGACAGGAAAUGAGGAUAUUGAAAACUGACACUACUAUAUCUACAUUUGGUUUAGGUUUUUUUUUUUUCCUUUUUGGAAGUUGUAUGUAAGAGAAAAAAAAUCACAAAAUGCUUUCAUUUCUCUGUGAUUGAGCAAACUCGUAAAAUAUUAAAGUAUUGAUUAAUAAUUGAUUAGAACUAACCUCACUGGAGCCAAUCAACCAUUUGGCAGGAUCGCUUUAAACUUUUAGGGGCUUUUAGCCCCCCUGGCUUCUAACCUUCCUCUUGUCUGAUUCAUUCAGGACUGAGCAGCGCUUCAGUCUGUUGGACAUGUGAUGUCACACUAUCCCUAUAGAACUGUGAGGUG